GGAUGCGAUCAUACCAGCACUAAAGCACCGGAUCCCAUCAGAACUCCGAAGUUAAGCGUGCUUGGGCGAGAGUAGUACUAGGAUGGGUGACCUCUUGGGAAGUCCUCGUGUUGCAUCCC
rfam:Oryza sativa (indica cultivar-group) chromosome 3, whole genome shotgun sequence.